AAUAAAGGAAAUCAGUCUAAGAACGCCACGUCCUGUGGCAAAGACUGAGUGACCUACAUCAAAAAAGUGUC
rfam:Lysinibacillus xylanilyticus strain DSM 23493 Scaffold8, whole genome shotgun sequence.